UACGGGGGGAGCAAGCGUUGUUCGGAUUUACUGGGCGUAAAGGGCGCGUAGGCGGUCAGCACAAGUCAGUUGUGAAAUCUCCGAGCUUAACUCGGAAAGGUCAACUGAUACUGUGCGACUAGAGUGCGGAAGGGGCAACUGGAAUUCUUGGUGUAGCGGUGAAAUGCGUAGAUAUCAAGAGGAACACCUGCGGCGAAGGCGGGUUGCUGGGCCGACACUGACGCUGAAGCGCGAAAGCUAGGGGAGCGAACGGG
rnacentral:rRNA from 1 species